GUGGGGGUGGGGGAGCACUGUACCAUUUUACACUCCUCUUUUAGCAAAAUAUGAGAAGGUCUGUUUCACCCCAGCUUCAGCAAAAGAGGGUGUUCUCCAGUUUGUGGGGUUUUGCCUGAUAUCGACAUGUGACAUACAAUAUCUUGCUGUUGUUUUAACUGUAAUUUCUGUUACCACGAGGUUCACAGUGUUUUCAUGUGGUGAGGCCAUCUGAAUUUCUAUGAGCUCUCUGACCCCACCCAUUUUUCUUUUGGAUAUUUGUGGUCUUUUUCUUAUAAACUUCUAGGAUGCAAGAACUAUUUGGGAUCUGAAUUGGAAAUAUUUCUCCCAGUUUGGUAUAUUGCUUCUGAGUUUGCAUGCUUUCUUAGAAAUUUUAUUUUAUUUACUUAGCCAUGUAAAAGUUUUUGCUUUGAUAUAGUCACAUUUAUCCAAAUGUUAUGGUGGCAAAGAAUCCUAUAUGAGCUGCUAAAAAGGAAUGGGGUGGGGGAGGUGGUUCUUUGGUCCAGAUUUAGAGAGAUCUCCAAAUGUAUCAUGAAGUGGAAAAGGCAAAAGUACAUAGUUUACCCCUGUUUCUCCAUGAAAGAAAGUGGGCAUGUAUGCUCUUAUUUGUUUAUAUUUUCAUAAAGGAAGUAUGAUAGGUUAUUUUAUAUGUCAGCUUGGCCAAGCUCUGGUGCUGGGUCAUUCGGUUAAACACUAGUCCAGAUGUUGCUGUGGCUGUCCUUUUUAGAUAUGAUUCUUAUCUACAAUAAACAGACAGGUUAGUUAAGCAGAUUAUCCUCCGCACUGCGAAGGGCCUCAUCCAGUCAGUCAAAGGCCCUCAGAGCAAAGACUGUGGUUCCCCAAGUAGAAUGAAUUCCUCUCAAGACUGUGACACAGAAAGCCCACCUGAGCUUCUAGCCUGAAGAAUUCAGACUGACGAAUGCAACUUCCUCAUCUACUGAACCUCCAGCCUCCCUGCUGCCCUGCAAAUAUCAUACUUGCCAGCCCCCACAAUCAGGGAAACCGAGGCACGAGAAGCUAACUUUCCGAGGCUGCCCAGCUGGUAAGCAGCAGAGCCAAGCUUCCCGCUUGGCCAGCGAGCUCCAGAGUCCCUGCCCUCAAAUCAGAAGCUGCAUGGCACAGUGACGCCAAGAAAACAACCUGGAGGGCCCAGGCUGGCAGAAGUCGGUGGGGGGGGCAAGGACAAGGAGGAAGCCAAAAGCUAAGAACAAAGUCAGACGGACACCGAGGCAGAAGCCGGGAAAGCAGAGCACGGUCACCAAUUGUUGGGGACAUGCUCUGAGUGAGAGGGUUUGAGAACUGCCACUCGCGGGCCGAGGACUGCUCGCUCUAAAGGUGUCUCAGGCUGAAAUCCAGCUAGACCUCUGCUCCAAGUCAGGGGCUGCGGCACAAAACACAGAUCUUUGCUCUUUCUGUCCACAGCAGCCCUCGGCCCACCCCAAGACAGCAGCAGAGAAGCGACCCAGGCAGGGGCUGCGGUCAGUGGGUGGAGCCUCUGGUUUCCUAGGAAAGUCAGACGUGCUGGUUGCCAUUUUCUCCAUAAAUUACUCCCAUGAAAGUCAAAUAUCUGCAUUAACUAAAUUUUUGAUAUUUUAUGGAUUGGUUCCACAAAAAAAGCACUUAAACAGCCCUUUCUGCUGACUUCCAAAUUCCUAUCUCACCUCCCUCUCAUCUUCAAUUCAAGUUUAUCAUCCUCUGUGUAAA